rnacentral:rRNA from 1 species
GAUGGACGCUAGCGGCAGGCCUAACACAUGCAAGUCGAGGGAGAGGUUACCUUCGGGUACCCAAAACCGGCGCACGGGUGCGUAACGCGUAUACAAUCUGCCUUUCACAUAGGGAUAGCCCGAAGAAAUUUGGAUUAAUACCUAAUGGUAUAUAAGAGCGGCAUCGUUUUUAUAUUAAAGCUACGGUGGUGAAAGAUGAGUAUGCGUUCUAUUAGCUAGUUGGAGAGGUAACGGCUCCCCAAGGCGACGAUAGAUAGGGGUUCUGAGAGGGAUGUCCCCCACACUGGUACUGAGAUACGGACCAGACUCCUACGGGAGGCAGCAGUGAGGAAUAUUGGACAAUGGUCGGAAGACUGAUCCAGCCAUGCCGCGUGCAGGAUGAAGGUCCUAUGGAUUGUAAACUGCUUUUGUAAGGGAAGAAUAAGGAGUACGUGUACUUUGAUGACGGUACCUUACGAAUAAGCAUCGGCUAACUCCGUG